GGGCCUGUAGCUUAGCCUGGCUAGAGCACUCGACUGAUAAUCGAGAGGUCCUGAGUUCGAAUCUCAGCAGGCCCA
rnacentral:tRNA from 1 species